GGGGUUGUAACUUAUUUGGUAGAGUGUUCGCCUAGCAUGUGUAAGGCACUGGGUUCAAUCCUCAGCAACACAU
rnacentral:tRNA from 1 species